rnacentral:lncRNA from 1 species
CCGCGUCAAAUUGCGCAUAUGUGUGUGCAAGUAGUGUCCUGCCAAUUUAACAUUAAUAUAUGUGUAACUAGACUAAAUUACAAGCCAAACUGAGCAUAUAUGUGUGCAACUAGUUUUUCUGCCAACUAAAUAUCAAUGUAUGUGUAACUAGACUAUAUUACAAGCCAACAAAACUUUAGUGACACCGUGACCAAAGCAACGGCAACACUCCAACUUGUGCUCGUCUUGUUAGACUCAACAUGAAUGCACUGAGCAAAGAGCAAAAAUAGCGGCACACGGAAGAACUCCAUUCCUAGCAAUCUUCUUCUUUUUCUUGCUCCAGACUGGACAAGAUCCUCCACCCGCGCUUCCUCCUCCUGUCCUCUCCCGGCUAGAGCAAGCUCCCGGCUAGAGCAAGCUCGUAGCAGCAGCUGCAUACACAAAACAACGAUGAGAUCUCUAUCAAAUCUUCUAUUCAAUCGAGAAGAUGGUACAUGCUUGGGCUAGUGACAUGCCGCCUGUUGCUUGAGCCGGCUAGGCUGGGCGUCCUACCGGUGGAGGAGCUAGCGGUGGGAAGGCCCUCACGAGCAGCGCUCACAGGGGGGGUCCUUGGGGGAGCCGGGGCGGGGGAGCAGAUGGCCGUGACCGUCGUCAUGUGCCUUGGGGAAGGAGCGGCGGAGGGAGCAUAAGAGCUCGGAGGGCAGGAUGGAGGAGGGGAAGGAGGCGAGCACCUAGUCCACGACGGCACCGACAGCCUUGGGCGAGACGACGUGGAAGAAGCUCUCCGGAGCGGCGAGCGCUAUGGCUGGACGGGACGAAUGGAUAAGAACAGAUGGGCUUCGUCGAGCGGCGUCGGAUCGGGAAACCGCCCCGACCAGGUACCACCUGACCAACGCGCGGGACGAUAGGAGCGAGAUCGUGCGGCCAGGAGCCGGCCGCUCGACUCGUCUGAAUAGUGCGCGUGCACUUUUUAGAAUUUAGCUUAAACUAGUGGGUGUUUUUAAGGAAUAUCUUAAUCCAUUGAGAGUAGAAGUAGGGCAGUAGUGCGGUGAAGGUUGGUGGCCGGCGGGCCCCACGUACGUCACCCCGCCCCGCCACGUCUGAGCCCACGAGCAGAACGUUAUGCGAAAGAGAAAAAGAAAAGAAUAGGAAAGCGGAUGAGACGGAGAGAUACCCGGGCCCGCUGUGGGGCCCACCCGCCUCCACUGCCUGCCUGGAGAGACUUUCCUCGUGCCCUUUUAACCCACCCGCAGCGACCGGUGCGCGCAGGCGCCACGUCAGCCGGGUGAAACCCUCCGCACUGUCCAGAUCAGGCCCAUCCACGCGGACCCGCGCGUGGUGGUCCCGGGCCAAAGCCGAUCGAUGGCGUAGCGCCAUUUCUUUAUUCCUUUACUUUAUUUAUUUUGCGUGGAGUGUAACGAGUGUUAAGUUUUUACUAGAGGAUAAAAAAAUUUGUUAGGGAAGGGAACAAAUGGGCGUGGCGCCAUCAGCCACCCACCCACCCGUGGACGGUUCGGGGUUUCACCCCGCUCGGGCGCACCGCCACGUGUCGGUCAUCGGGCCAUGCUUGUUGCGUAAGGAAGCGUCCACGAGAUUUUAUCGCGUGUUCCGUUGGGUGCUAGGCGGUGGGGGCGGCCACGGUGGCAGGCGCGGGGGCGGGGCCGUCGGAUGCGUCGGGCGGAUCCUGGCCGUCGGAUGCGGGCAUGGGCAGCGACAAAAAGAGGAUGAGGCCUAGAAAGCGAGCCACAAGGGGAGGGGAGGAGGCCACACCAGACCAGAGAAGCAGCAGCCAUUUCCUUCCAGCCGAGGGAGACGAGACGAGAGGAGAGCACUCUUCCUCUAGGAGAGGAGUAGCAUCGAGAGAGGGAGAGGGAGGAGAUACUCGUGAGCGCGAGGGGAAGGAGAAGGAGGGCGGGCUCUCCCUCUGCCUUGUUGAGGCGGUUGGUGCGUGGAUCUGCGCGGCGGCGGCGGUGUCUGCCGGACUCCGGCGACGCGGCGACGACUAGGAGGGAGAUCGGAGGCGCAUGCCUCAGAUCUGACAUGGAGCGGAUCCGGGAAGGCAGGAGGGCCGCACUGGCCAUGUCCGGCGGGGCGCCACCGCCGCGGCGGCGGCUCAGGAGCAACGGCGGCGGCGUCUCCGGCGGCGCGGGCCCGAGGGACUCGCCUCGGUCCGAGAGGAGGCGGGGGGAGCGGCUCAUGCUCAACGGCAACGGGCGCGACGACGGCGACGACACCUCCGACGACAGCCUCGGCGACGACGACGACGACGCCGACGAGGAGCUCGCCGCCUCCGCGCCCAGGUACCCGCCUGUGCAGCGGCGGUCGCCCAGCACGGCGCCUCCGCCGUCCCCGCCCCAGCCCAGCGCCGCGCACCACCACAGCAGCAGCAGCGGCGGCGGAGGCGGCGGCGGUUACAACAACCACCACCACCACGGCCAGCAGCAGAUGCACCGGAAGGGGGGCUCCAAUCCCAAGGGCCCCAUAGUGUGGAAGGCCGCCGACGAAAUGAUCGGCGUUCCAGUCCCGAGGAAGGCGCGCUCAGGUAUGCUAUGCACCGCAAAACAAGCAAUUUUUCACCCUUCUUGCCGCUUCUGUUUCCCUAAUCUCACCGGCGUUCCUCGUGUUUUCCGCAGCUUCUACCAAGAGGUCUUCGCACGAGUGGACAGGCCCCGGCGGUGGAAGCGGCGGCGGCGCCGCUGUAGACGGCUCGCAGAUCCAGCGGCCUUCUUCACGGCCGAUCUCGCCGGCUUCCACAUCGGCCACCGCCCCUGUUCGGAAAAAGCUGGUGCGUUUUUCAGGCCGACAGAAUCCAUCUCCCCUCAUGAUUCUUAACUCCUGCCCUUACUGAUUUCCCUCUCUCUCCGGUGUCUCGCAGAAAACACUUGGCGGCGGUGGGAGCAGCGGCGGUUCUGGGCCCGUACCGAAGCAGCGGCCGUCGCCGGCCUCAGCUCCUUCGGCAGCCCCGCCUCAGCCGCCACCAGCAAAGAUUUCCAAGUCGCCAUCGUUCAUUCAGGAGGAGAUCGAGGUCGCCGAGGUGCUAUUUGGCCUGACGCGGCAGUUCCCCUGCCCUCCCAAGCAGGAGAACAUGAACCACAAGCCGGAGCAGAAGGACGCGCCGGAGGCCAAGUCCGGGAACUCUUCGCCGGCUCCGUCGUCAUCUGGCGUCCGGCCGGCAGAUUCAGCCUCUCUCACCACUAUAGGUAGGCAGCUCGUCAAUUUUAAUCUUGCAAUGAUUUUUUGUUGCUAAUUUUGGUUUUGUGGGGUCUAAUAAACUUCCUCACUGCUUUUGCCAGCCCCAAAGAGGAAGCGGCCACGGCUCGUCAAGUACGACAACGAGAACCGCCCGGCGAGCCCAGCAAAACCGGACACGGCAGAGCCGCCCUCAAGGCCUGAAGUGCCUCCGGUGGCGAGAUCAGAUGCGAAGCCGUCGGUGUCGGUGUCGGCUGUGGCCGAAAGUGGCGCCAGCAGCACCGCCACCGCCACCGCUGGUGCGCAGCAGGAGGCUACCCGGGAGCCAGAGAAGAGGGAGGACCACAGAGGAAGAGAUCCAGAGCUCCGGACCAGCGAAUCAGAUCGACGGGAUCCCGGGCCCGCCGAGCCGCCGGCACCAGCAGUCAAGCCCGACGGCGAGGCUGCUGCGCCGGUCGGCUCUGAGGCCAGGAAUGGGGAGGCCACCACCGCGACAAAGAGGUGGGCCAUUUGGAUUUUUUAUAUUAUUGGUGUUGUGAUAACCAUUAUUGCCUUUGGAUUGUGCCGAUCUGAUUAGUAUAUUCACAAUUUCGUGUGAAUUUCUUUAUUUUUUUAUCAGUGAGCUGGCAUCUGAUGGCGCUCGGCAAGAAAAGUUUUGCAUUGAUCUCAUGGUGGGUAUAUGCUUUCAUAUGUUUGUGUGUGUGGUUGAAUUGGUCUUGCGGAAUUUGCUGGGCAAAGAUUGAAAACGACAAUUUUUUGCCGCAACUGUUGAUUGGCUUUUUUGUUUUCUUUUCAGCCCUUUUUUUAUCUCACCUUUUUCUCUCCCCUUGUGCUUGUUCCAGGCUCCCCCUCCUGGGAAGCUAUCUCCUGAUAGAGAUGGCUCUUCCGACCCUGAUGCGGAUAAGAAGGGAUUGGAUUCUGAGAUGGACGUGGUGGGUGCCUCUGUCUGCUUCAGUUUCACCAAUUCUGUUGAUUGACCUCCCUAGCCGCUGGAGCAUUGGAUGUUUGAUUCUGAUCGGUCCAUUUCUUGUUCAUCUUUUCCUCCGAUUUCAGGCUUUGAGAGGAAAUUCUGAAAAGAAAGAUGGCGAGAGGACCAGGAGAGGCCUGGAGAUCAAUCUGGAGGACGACAAGGCGCAAAGGAUUCCGGCGGAGGAGCUUGCUCCAAAGAAGCUCACGCUGCAGCUGGAUUUGGAGAAGCCCAGCCAAGGGGACGAUAAGUCGCCAUCUGAGCGCAGACAGCCGCCAUUGCUGCCGCCGCAGCAGCAGCAGCAGCAAAAGCCCUCAAAGUCCGAGGUCAAGCAUGAGAAAUCACGUAAGAAUUUCGCCUGGUUCUUCCCCAUUUUCUCACUGCUUUUGUAAAAGGUGAUUCUUUGUUGAUUUGGGUUUUUCCUCAUCUGGCAGCUCUACCUGCUGCUUCACCGCCUAUGCCAAUGACCGUCGGCGGCUGGAUGGGGACUUUCCCUCCUUUUAGGUGAGUUUUCACUGCUGUUCGAUGUUUUACACGCACUCUUGCUCCCUGAAGGAUUUGUGGUCUAAAAUAUGUUGUUCUUACCUUGGCAGUUACAUUGCUCCUGUUCCUGGACUAUCAGCUCCUGGGCUUCAUCAUCCUAUGGACAUAAAGCCAGGGACUUCUGCUGGAUUACAGGUUCGCUUUCUCACUUCACCUAUGGUGUGGUUUCUGUCUUUGGAGUGAAUUUCUUUGCCAAGUCUAAAGGUUUCCUACAUUGCAGCAUCCUGCAUUGCCUCCACUGCCAGUACGCCCGAAGCGCUGUGCUACACAUUGUUACAUCGCACAGCAGAUCCAAUACCACCAGCGAAUUACAAAGAUGAACUCUUUCUGGCCCACAACAGCGGCUGCAGCCGCUGCUGCCGCCGCCACAAGAUCUGCACCAUUCUUUGGUCCAAGAGGACCAUUCAACAUGGGCGUCGUACCACCUGCGGAGGCUGCCUCCCUUCUCGCGAACCCAAUGCAGGGGAGCUACCCUGUUCGGGCACACGCCCCGCUGCAAGAAACUAAGGCUCCUUCAAUGGUGCCUUCUCCUUUCCAGGGGAGCCUCUCCAAGGAUAAAGCGGCAUCCAGCAGUGCCAGUGUUGCUGAAUCAAACCAAAGGAAGCAACCUCCAGCUCUUGAAGCGCAGCAGUCCUCUCCCAUGCCACCAAACAUGAUGGUAUGCUUGUCGUGGAUUUAUGCUAUUCAUUACUAGUAUCUUGUGGUAUUUUUUGGUAUUUUUUUCCUUAUAUAAUUUCCCGUGCACCCUCUGUUUUUUACAGCAAGCGCCAACAUUCAUCUUUCCAUUCAACCAACAUGCUGCAGCAGUAGCAGCUGCAACUGCCGCUGCCAAUCGAAUGGGAGAUACAAAAUCUUCUGGCACCAGCAGUGCGAUGCCAUCAUCUGCCACUGCCCACGCUUCAGCAGCACACCCUGGUGCAGCGGCCAUGAACUUGAGCUUUGCCAACUUGCAGCCGGGUGAUGCCCAGUUCUUGGCCAUCUUACAGAACGGCUACCCAUUCCAGCUCGCUGCUGCUCAUGCUGGAGGAGCUCCAUCAUAUCGAGGCAUGGCACCACCAGGCCCAGGUGUACCGUUUUUCAACGGGCAUGUCUACUCUCCCCACAUGUUGAACCCAUCACAGCAGCAAGGUACGCAGCAACAAAAUCAUCAGAAAAACCCAAUGCCAAGCUUGUCUGGUUCCUCUCAGAAGCAUCAGCCACAACAAUCACAAGGGUUGCUGGGAUAUGCACCAAAUGCUAAUGCUGCUGCUGCCGCGGCCGCAGCAGCCGCUGCCAACAGUUCCCAGAGCUAUUCGAGCGGCAACCAGCGUCCUGUUCUACUACAUGGCCUCGCUCACCGACAGGAUCCAGACAAGGCUCUGCAAGAUGGCCAGUCAAGUGAUGACAAGUCUUCACACCAUCAGAAGGGUGGGCAUGAACAUAAUUUUGCUAUUCCAAUGCAUCUUCCAAAUUUUGCGUUGAUGCCAUCUGCUGGCAAUCAGAGUGAGAAGAAAUCGAAUGAUCACCACCAGCAGCCACCAACCAGUCGAAGCCAGGGGGUUCGAAUUGAUCUUGCUUCAUCUCAGCCUUUUGUGAUGCCCUUUGGCGCUCCUGGUUCUGCUCCAAAUGGUCUUGACUUCUCGUCAUUGGCACAGAACCAUGCGCUUUUCCAGAGCCAUCAAGAAGCAGGCCGGCAUGGUUACCCUCAGCUCAAUUUUGCUUCAGCCCAGUCUGUUCAAGCUGCACAGCAUAAACCCCAGCAUCAAAAUGCUGCAGAAGCUAAAUCUGUGGCUGGGGAUUCAUCUUCAACGCCAAGUGCUGGAGAUAAUGAGAGAAAGAAAUCUGCAUCUGCAAAGUACCCGAGUGAUUCACAGCAGCAUUCUCUUUCUUUCUCUAAGCCAGAAAACAAGUCUUUUAUGCACCCUUUCCUUGGUAGCAGUGCUAAUGAGCCCUCAGUCCGCACUUUGAGCCUUAUUGGUGCGGAAUCUUCGAAUGCCUUUGGGUUAGGCAGCAGCAAAUCUUCAAGUGCUUCUACUGCAGCAGCUACGUCAGCUGCAGCCCCAUCUGCACCAACCAUGUCCCAGCAGCAGCAACAGCAGCAAAUUCAGCUGCAGCUGCACCAACACCAUCAGCACCAGAUGCAGCAACAAUUCCAGCAGCAGCAACAGCAGCAGCAGCAGCAACUCCAGCAGCAGCAACAGCAGCAGCAGCAGCAGCAGCAGCAACUCCAGCAGCAGCAACAGCAGCAGCAGCAGCAACAACAGCAGCAGCACCAGCAACAUAUGUUACAGCUUCAGAAACAGCAGCAGCAGCAGCAAUUGUUUCAAAAUCAUCUGAACUCUCGCCCCAGGUCUGCUGCUCCGAGUAAUGCAAGUGGAUACUCUGACCGUUUGAGUGCGACGAACUUUCAGAAUUUAAUGUAUCCAUCAAGCGCUUCUCAAGGCGGAGUUCCUGGUCAAUCACCUCAAUUGAAGGCAUCGUCGUCGAUGAGAGUGUCAGCUCCACCUUCAGGUGCUUCUGUCCCUGCUGCAUCCUCGCCUUCUAGUUUGAUUAUGAUGAAGAACAGUGGUCUCCAUCAACAAGCAAAAGCUCUGCAGGCUCUCUCCACCCCGAAUCACCAGUCUCAAAGCAUGAGUUCAUCGAAGAUUGGCCACUCCCUUACUAAUCUUUCUACUGGAGGAGCAGGGGACCUAUCUCGAUCUUCAAAUGCUCCUGUUGCUUCUGGUUCGCCAUCUAACUCGGUCUCCAAAAGUACUGGUGGUAGCCCACCUGCAUCUGGAAUUGCGAAGGGUGGCCAGCCAGUUGUCCAAUUGUCAUCACCUCAACAACAUGCAGCAAAGAACUCUCCUUCGACUUCUGGAUCCAAGUCGGCUUCAACAAAUCCCUACAGCAGUAUGCCUAUGCCAUCGAUCCUUGGUCAGCAACCAAACAUGGCUCACUCUGGUGGUAAGCAGCAGUCACAUGGACCCUCAUUGAAACAACAGCAGCCGUUCCCACAAGGCCAUGGCCACGGCCACUUCUUCAUCUCCAAUGCCUUUGCGCCACAAGGUCCGCCUCAGCAUGUAAAUGCUGGAGCUGGUGCUGGCCUCUACCAAAAGCGCUCGGCUGACAAGACGCAGCAGCAGCAGAAUGCUGUAUCUGGUUCGUCUGCGAUGCUCUCUCUUGGUUCCAUGUCGAUGUCCACAUCUGCGAUUCCAGCUGAUGCGGGGAAGGCUCAUAGUGCAGCUGGCAGUAACAUGAAGGCCAAUCUUCAUCCAGCACCUGGUGGUUUUAUGCACCUUGGGACAGCGGGGCAAUCUGCGAGUGGUUCGCCUCACUCUCACUCUCACCUUUCAGCGGCACAAUUGACGUUUUCAAUGCCGAUGCCCGUAAAGCCUACCAGUGAUCAGAAGCCUGCUGCUGGUAAUGGACCUCUAUCCAUACUUGUUUCCCCUGCAGACGUUGUUCCAUGUACCGCCACCAUAUAACUUGACUCAGUUGUUUCGACUAACAUAAAACCCUUGUGUUUGUCAGGUAAGUAAAGGACCCAGACGCCAGAGCAUGGGAAUGCUGCUAAUCUCAGUCGGCGAGCUAACUGCUAAUUCUGUCGGAAGCUCGGCGCGCGGAAGAAGCGAUUGCGUGGCAAGAGGCAUAGCUGCGAGAGCCGGAUCGUCGAUGAGGAGGAUGAUGCACCCAUUCCAUCCAUUCAGGGGCUCUGGCAAUCUGUGGAGUAAAAAUGUGGAACGGUUGGCUGAUGGGAGUGAUGCUUGUGUGUAGUAGGUUAUCCUCCCAUGGUGGAAAGCUGGAGGUGCAUAGAAAACCUUUUUUUUAGCAGUUUUAUGCAAGAUUGUCAAAAGCUGGUCUCUCUGAACUUGUUCCCUCCCCUCUCCUCCAACUGCUGCUCUGGUCUCUUUAGAUUUGUUCUUUUUGUUGUUGUCUUAACUGAAGGAAGAAGGUUUAAUUAGAAUGCAGGUCAAGGGAAACUUUUGUGAUGCUGCUGCUCUUGCCUUCCUCUUUUCUUUCUUUCUGUGUUUCUUUCCUUUUUUUUCCAUGUGUUUUGUCAAUACCAUCUGCUUGGAUUGUUUUAGAAACAAUUUGGGGCAGAGAGGGAAAUAUCUCUCAAGGAGUAGUAGUAGUAGUAGUAUGUUGGAUUGCUUUAGAAACAACAACUGGGGCUGAGGCAGAGAAGGCAGAUAAGUAGUAGUCGUAGUUGCUGCAUAGCAUAGCAUAGCAUGAGAAUGACCAUGACCUGCCUGUUGGGUGUGUGCGUUGUAAUUAGAAGAAAUGAAUCAAUCAAGAAGGUGGAUGAUGGAUGGAUGGAUAAUCUUGUUAAGAUAGCAAAGCAGAGCAAUUCUGGGAUGUGUGAUGACUCGGCACUGCAGUGCUCACUCAUCCGAAAGUGCUACUCUUUCCGGUGCGCAGUCCGGCACGCCACUCUUCCACUCCGCCAUUUGUUAACUUGCCCGGACGGACGGACGGACGCGUGCUGCCGCUAUCUUCUUCCUAAUCGUACCAAUCUAUCUAUCUAAUAUAUCUAUAUCUAUCUAUGACACUUGGGCUGGAUGGUGAUGAUCUCAUUCACCUCCACCAAAGCUCUCGCCCUUCACACGUGUCCGGCCUAACAGCCAUCCGACGUGCAGGCUGAAAAGUAAAGUAUCUGGAAAUUUUUGCCUUGCCCGGGGGACAUCGCUUUCCUUUCCCUUGGCGCAAGGGCAUGGCGCUCCCUCCCUUUCCUGUCCGGAGUGGGUCUGCACGCAUGGAGCUUUUUGUCCACAUGCACCGCUCCGGUUCUUGGUGACUCAACCUGGCAGUCGUGUCGGGUUUGGCCGGGUCAACCUUUACCAGACCCAUGCCCGAUUACUCUGUCGGGUCUAUCUUGCACCCAUGACCCUAUCCAUGGGUAUGGAUUUAGACCCACGCCCGAACCCAUCGAGUGACCCGACCCUAUCGGGCACCCAUCGGGUCUGACAAAAUUAAAUAAUUUUAUUUUUUAUAGAAGACAUAGACGUUGUAUUGUGCAUGCAGCGUUCAGUCCUGGCAACAUAAACCAGCGGUCUCCAUUUUAUAGACGGGGCUCCCCCUCCCAUGUGCUCGAACAGGCGAGGUGGGACUAAAUGUUCAGCUUCUCUUUUAUUUGAUGGACAUGUGUACACUACAUAGGCUUCAUCUUUUAUGGGUUGAAUGCAUAUGUGCAGCGCUCUGUGCAUGGGCCACUUGCUAAAGGUCAAAAUGGACCAUACCAAGCGUGUGAAUAACAUACAGAAUAAGCUUGGUGAUGGUUGUGGUCGUAAUGAUUGUGCCUUGCUCUGUUUUUUGUGACCACUGCCCAUGAAAAAUAUAGCAGGAAACAAAUAGUUUAUUAAUUAUUGAUAUUAAUCGGGUGACCCAUCGGGUAACCCACGGGCACAAACUUAAACCCAUACCCUACCCAUGACUAAUCGGGUUACCCAUGGGUAAGACCCAUGGGCGAAGUCGACAAGCCAUACCCUACCCAUUCGGGUCGGGUGCCUAUGGGCGCACGAACCCAUGGGUCAGAUUGCCAGGUUGAUUAGUGACAUGUGAUUAAUCGCGUGCUGGAUUGUUUGUUUGGGUUAACCUGGCUUGGGUGGCCUCGGCCUUCCUUUCCAGCACGCACUCAUGGCUCAUCCGUCCAUGCGAUGCCAUGUAGGAGUAGUAGGAGUAGGAGUACUGGUGGCAGUAUCUCGCUGCGAUAUCUUGUGCAUGCACACAUCAGGUGGCCCCACGGCCUGUCAUUAUUGCCAAAAACUCUUGUCUUUGAUUGAGAUGGGGAGAGAGGUGUGCGCCAGUGCUUGUUCUGUGUGUCCAGUUGUUGUUUUUGGUCAGUAAAAUCUGGUGUCCCUGUCGCCGUCGUGACGUAGCACCGCCAGGCUGUUCUCCAAGUUGCCAGACAACUGGAUUUGCACGCUACGUGCGCCGGGCACAAGCGGCGGGGCUGGGUAGGCCGCCCGUGCUCGCGCUGUGAACCUUGGGCGGGGCGGUGGAACUCCGGUGGGCAGAAACGGCGAAUGAUGGUUUGAUGAUCGUCGGCUUCAGAUUUGAUCUAUGGUUCAAGUAGGCAAAAAGCGUGGAGAUGGAAAAAGAUAAUGAUUAAGCAUGGCGGAGAAGUUCGUGUUUAGUCAUCUCGUCCUAUUUCGCCGUUUGUGGCAUAUUAUACCUUUUUAUUCUUUUUUUUAACUCUGAGCGAGCUUGUUUGGGAUCACAGACUUUUCGGUCACUUUGAUAAAUAAAGAGUCUGCAUGCAUCAUUCUGAUGCAGAGGCUGGGGUAAUCCUCAUUUUCUAAAAAAAACAUGGUGGAGAAGUGUUUGAUAGCACCUGAGAAAACAAAGGAAUUCUACAAAGAGGUUUGAGUGCACUAAAAUGUCCUCCAAGGUAGAGUAUGAAUGAAUCCUAGGGAUUUCAAUCGUGUGAAUCAAACAGCCAAUGUAGCAAAGUUUUUAAAGGAUCCAAAUCCUCUGAAAAUCCUGUAAAAUUCCUUUGAAUCGAGCUCUGAAGGAGAUAGAGGCGGUACGGUUCGCACAUGUCUUUUCAAGGACAUUGGGAGAUCUAGAUCUCUGUGAGUGACGACACCAAAUGGAAAGACUACCCGGUUAAUAAAAUUGCUACACAUCGAAUGGAACUACUAAUUGAGGGUACGAUGAGCAUCCUGACUCUUCCAAGAAGAAGAAAGGAAUAACUAGAGAACUAACAAUGUCCUAUAAGUUACAUAUAGAGGAGGUAUCACUAUCUUGUUACCAGCCAUCGGACCAAUAGGGGCAUAUCUUAGAAAAAAGAGUGGGAGAGGAGACCCCAAGGUGUGAGAGGAUUUAGUGGUCCAUGAGGAUGUUGUGUUGGAUGGGGUAUCCAACAAGAGGACUCGUAUGUAUGUCAAGAGUGACCCUCCACUGUGGCCAAACAUUGCUCCAACAUCAGUCACUCGAUCUCUAUUAUCGAUGCCCCGUCUAUUCUAUUCUACAAACCCUCCACCCUCCCCGUCAUCCACCCCACCCCUCCCAACCCCACUUUCUUAGAACCUCGGUACAUACGAGCUUUCAAUUUGGAUCCAAGAUAUUAUUUUCACUUUCAACUCGCUUUCUAUAUAAACAGUAAACAUAACAACUUUAACCAAUAUUUCUUGCUUAGAUCUAGAACUUUGCUUUCAACACUUACCUCGAAAUAACCCUCAGGGCCAUGAAGAGGGAUCAUACCAUCGAUGCUUAGAUCAAACUUUGAACCCGUCAAUCACCUGGAAAUAACCCCACCACCAUGAAGAGGAAGGACACCAUCGAUCCUUAGACAUAGAACUUUGAAUGCGACAAUCACCUGGAAAUAACCCUCACGGUCAUGAAGAGUAAGGACAACAUUGAUGCUUAGAUAUAGAACUUUGAAUCUGGCAAUCACCUAGAAAUAACCCCCACUGUCAUCAACAGGAAGAACAACAUUAUUAGAAAUUCAGUUAAUAGCUACUUUGAAGAAAUAUCUAAACACUAAACUAUGAUGCUUAGACAUACAACUCUGAAUCCGGCAAUCACCUGGAAAUAACCCUCGCGGACAUGGAGAGGGAGGACACCAUUGAUGCUUAGAUGUAGAACUUCGAAUCCAGCAAUCACCUGGAAAUAACCCUCACGGUCAUGAAGAUGAAAGACACCAUUGAUACUUAGAUCUAGAACUUUGAAUCCAAGAAUCAUCUGGAAAUAAACCCCACGGCCAUGAAGAGGAGGGACGUAAUUAUUAAGAAUCCAAUUAUCUGCUAUUUUCAACAAAUCCCUAAACUAUAAACUACGAUGCUUAGAUCUAGAACUUUGAAUACGACAAUCACCUGGAAAUAACCCCCGCGGUCGUGAUGAGGGAGGACACCAUUGAUGCUUAGAUCUGGAACUUUGAAUCCGCUAAUCACCUACAAAUAACCCUCGCGGUCAUGAAGAGGGAGGACAUCAUCGAUGCUUAGAUCUGGAACUUUGAGUCCAACAACCACCUGGAAAUAACCCCUGCGGUCAUGAAGAGGGAGGACACCAUCNNN